UAGACCCGAAACCAGGUGAUCUAGCCAUGCGCAGGAUGAAGGUGCGGUAACACGCACUGGAGGUCCGAACCAGUGCCCGUUGAAAAGGUCUUGGAUGACGUGUGGUUAGGGGUGAAAGGCCAAUCAAACCUGGACAUAGCUGGUUCUCCGCGAAAGCUAUUUAGGUAGCGCCUCGCGUGAAUGCCUUGCGGGGUAGAGCACUGGAUGGGCUAGGGCCGCCCACAGCGGUACCGCACUCAACCAAACUCCGAAUACGCAAGAGCACUGCGCGGGAGACACACGGCGGGUGCUAACGUCCGUCGUGAAGAGGGCAACAACCCUGACCGACAGCUAAGGCCCCCAAUUCGUGGCUAAGUGGGAAAGGAUGUGGGACUCCCAAAACAACCAGGAGGUUGGCUUAGAAGCAGCCAUCCUUUAAAGAAAGCGUAACAGCUCACUGGUCUAGCCAAGGGGUCCUGCGCCGAAAAUGUAACGGGGCUCAAGCCACGAGCCGAAGCUUCGGGUG
rnacentral:rRNA from 1 species